rnacentral:misc_RNA from 1 species
GUCAAUUAUAAAUUUAAGGUAUAAAUAUAUUUAAUAAGAAUUACAAAACAUGGAGUUCAACACUAUAGAUCUAACCUCUUGGAAGCCAAUUCAUAAUCAAUCCAAGAACUUAAUUCAUAAUCAAUCCAAGAAUUUAAUCUCCUUCCAUCAUUCAACAGCAUAUUAACAGAUAAAUCAUUUUUCAUCUUAGCUGAUGUAGAACACCCAUUCAAAUCAACAUCCCUCUUUGUUUCAAACUCAACAGCAAUAAUUUCAGAAUUAUUAUCCUUUGAUCUUAAAUAAAGUCCAAAUAGGAUACUAUUAUCAAACGAACUGGCAUUAGAAGCAUUAGAAACC